rnacentral:tRNA from 1 species
ACCUGGGUGGCUUAGUCGGUUAAGCGUCCGACUUUGGCUCGGGUCACGAUCUCACGGUCUGUGAGUUCGAGCCCCACAUUGGGUU